rnacentral:rRNA from 1 species
GACGAAGGGGGCUAGCGUUGUUCGGAAUUACUGGGCGUAAAGCGCGUGUAGGCGGUUGUUCAAGUCGGGUGUGAAAGCCUUGAGCUCAACUCAAAGAAAUGCACUCGGUACUGGAUGACUAGAGGACCGGAGAGGAUAGUGGAAUUCCCAGUGUAGUGGUGAAAUACGUAGAGAUUGGGAAGAACACCAGUGGCGAAGGCGGACUGAUCUGGACGGUUUCUGACGCUAAGACGCGAAAGCGUGGGGAGCAAACAGG